rnacentral:rRNA from 1 species
ACACGAACCGGACAAACGUUAUUCGGAAUUAUUGGGCUUAAAGGGUGCGUAGGCGGCGCGGUAAGUGAGGUGUGAAAGCCCUCGGCUCAACCGGGGAACUGCGCUCAAAACUGCCAGGCUAGAGGAAGAUAGAGGUGAGCGGAACUAAUGGUGGAGCGGUGAAAUGCGUUGAUAUCAUUAGGAACACCUGUGGCGAAAGCGGCUCACUGGGUCUUUUCUGACGCUGAGGCACGAAAGCUAGGGUAGCGAACGGGAUUAGAAACCCCGGUAGUCC